rnacentral:lncRNA from 1 species
UUGAUCUUUAAACCAUGCUCUGAUACCAAUCGAAUUCGACUCAAUCCCUCAGGGCAUAAUGGCAUCCAAUGGUACCUAUCAGAGCACUCGGCAAGAGGUGCACUUCACUCAGGGACGUAUCGGGAGCAGUCCCUUCCCUCCUCUUCCAAGCUCCUGGGCGGAGAGUCAUACUUCGUCAUAGAUCAUAUGCGAGAGUUCCCAGGAAUAGGGUUAUCUUUCCCUUUG